rnacentral:SRP_RNA from 1 species
GCCGGGCACGGUGGCACGUGCCUGUAGUCCCAGCUACUCGGGAGGCUGAGGCAGGAGGAUCACCUGAGCCCAGGAGUUCUGGGCUGUAAUGCGCUAUGCCAAUCGGGUGUCCGCACUAAGUUUGGCAUCAAUAUGGUGACCUCCCAGGAGCAGGGCACCACCAGGUUGCCUAAGGAGGGGUGAACCUGCCCAGGUCAGAAACCGAGCAGGUCAAAAUUCCCGUGCUGAUCAGUAUUGGGAUCGCGCCUGUGAAUAGCCACUGCACUCCAGCCUGGGCAACAUACCGAGACCCUGUCUCU